CUAGGUUACACAGCUUGGAUGGGGUGACCGCUUAGAAAUACAAACCAAAAUUAGUUUCCAAACCUAUUUUUUUAAUCAUAAUUUUGUCAAUAUUCCUGUGCUGUUAAGGUUUACAUUAUAUUUUAAUGUUGCUGCAACAUUGUAUUGCAAUAUUUCUAAAGGCGGACAUU